rnacentral:rRNA from 1 species
GUCCUUUUGUGGUUAAAUAAAAGGUCGUACCUGCCCAAUGUAAGUGAAUGGCCGCGGUAUUAUGACCGUGCGAAGGUAGCAUAAUCAAUAGUCCACUAAUUGUGGUCUGGAAUGAAUGGUUUGACGGGGAGUAGCUUUCUUGGGCUAAUUGGUGAAUUUAAGUUGUUAGUAAAAACGCUGACAUGUUUAAGGAGGACGAGAAGACCCUAUAGAGCUUUAUAUAAGUGUUAUUGUUGAUGGUAUUGAGUUUAACAGUUAUAUUUUGUUGGGGCGACAGUGGGUAGGAGAAACACCCAUUAUUUUGGGCUAUUAUUAUAGGUAAAUGAUCCACUAUUAGUGAUUGGAAGACUAAGUUACCUUAGGGAUAACAGCGUUAUUUCAUUUUAGAGUUCUUAUCGAUAAUGAAGUUUGCGNCCUCGAUGUUGGAUUAGAAUUCCUUUUAGGNGUA